GCCUCUGUUGAACCAAACCCUCGCUUGGGAAAAUGUCUCAUGUUAAACAGGUUGAUUAAACUCAAGAAGAUGGAAAAUAAAUCGACGUCUAUAAGUACAAGAUAUCUCCCGAAAUUUUCUUGUGGUGGUAAAGGGAAAAAGGCUCUUAAAGUUCUUGACGGUGACGCGAUUCAAAUUUUUCUUAAGCAAAUCUACAAGGAAUUGGAGGCAUGCAAAGGGAUUAGCUGAGUCUAUCUCUUGGGGUUCUACAAAUUCUUUUCUGGUUCUAUCCGGACCGAUGAUUUGUGUGGCCUCCGCUUCUUUGAAUUCAGCUCCAUGAUUGUUCCAUGUUCAGUCUGUGUUGUUUUUCCCUUCAGUCUUGGUUUUGGUUUGUUCUUGGUUUAGUAGGUUAUUUAUCCUCGUCGUUUUAGUUUGCCCCUGUUGUUCAUCAGCAAGUAGAACUAAGCUUCUUUUUGGGCAUCUUUCUGUUUAGUGUUACGGCCUGCGUUUUGUUGGACCCUUGUGUCAGUCUGUUCUCUUGAGGUGUACCUUUGUACCUUUCUUUUUU
rnacentral:misc_RNA from 1 species